rnacentral:rRNA from 1 species
AUGGAGGUGGAGACUGUGAUGCCUCCUCCGGCGGCCGGGCUGGACCGCGUGGACUCUGCCGCGCGGGAGCCGACUCACACGGAGUCCUCCUUGCCGUCGCCGGCGGCUGGAGGCGGCGCGAAUGGCGCGGCGACCAAGGUGCAGAAGGUCUACCGGAGCUACCGGACCAGGCACAAGCUCGCCGACUCCGCCGUCGUCGUCGAGGAGCUCUGGUGGGAAGCGCUGGACUUCGCGCGGCUAAACCACAGCACCGUCUCCUUCUACGACGACCCGGAGCCGGAGACCGCCGCCUCGCGCUGGAACCGCGUCAGCCUCAAUGCAUCCAAGGUGGGUCAGGGUUUAUCCAAGGAUGCCAAGGCUCUUAAGCUGGCUUUCCAGCACUGGAUCGAGGCUAUUGAUCCAAGACAUAGGUACGGGCACAACCUGCAUUUCUACUAUGAUGCCUGGUGCCAAACCCAGGCUGGCCAGCCCUUCUUCUACUGGCUCGAUAUUGGUGAGGGAAAAGAUAUAGAGCUUCCAGAAUGUUCAAGGGCUCUGCUGAAAAAGCAAUGCAUAAGAUAUCUUGGUCCACAAGAGCGUGAGUACUAUGAAUACAUCAUUAAAGAGGGAAAGAGUGUCCACAAGAUAUCUGGAGAACCACUUGAUACAAGCCAGGGCUCUAAAGGGACAAAAUGGAUUUUUGUUAUGAGCACAGCAAAGAAACUUUAUGCUGGGCAGAAAGAGAGAGGUGUAUUCCAGCACUCCAGCUUUUUAGCAGGAGGUGCAACUAUAGCUGCUGGAAGGUUUACGGCAGAAAAUGGAGUUAUCAAGUCCAUCUGGGCCUAUAGUGGACAUUACAAGCCGAGUGCGGAGAACCUUACCAACUUCAUGAGCUUUCUAGAAGAAAAUGGAGUUGAUCUGAAAGAAGUUGAGGUGCGCUCAUCCACCAAGGAAGACUACUAUGAAGAUCCAGUGCCUAAUAUCAAAGAGAACCCUGCUGCUGCUGCCAUGAUGGCAUCCAAUACUCCACAGUUGAAACUGCCUUCCAACAUGGUACCAGAAGACAAGGCAUCUGGGCCAUCUCCACAGACUGAAGCUGACGAGGACAAUAAUGUCCGUGUGGAGCAAACAAGGUCAGCCUACCAAAGAACCUUAUCAGGUGGCCUGCAAAGUCAUCUUGAUGCGGUCGUCUCGCAGGAUGCAAUUCUUGAGAGGGUAAAUUCCAAGAGCAGGUCAAAAUCCUAUCAGCUCGGCCACAGGCUAUCCCUGAAAUGGAGCACUGGAAAUGGUCCAAGAAUUGGGUGCGUGAAGGAUUAUCCGAUAGAGCUCAGAAUGCAAGCGCUAGAGAUGGUACAACUCUCACCGAGGGCAUCGACUCCUCCAGCCUCGUGGAGGGUGCCAUCAUGA